UGAAUACGAGAUGCUACGGCGUCGAAGCAGUCUAUGUCAUACUUCCAAGAAAAGCUCGCACUGUCAUAAACAAAUAAUGCCUGUACCAUAACCGACACAGGUGGGUAGGUAGAGUAUACUAAGGGGCGCGAGAUAACUCUCUCUAAGGAACUCGGCAAAAUGACUCCGUAACUUCGGGAGAAGGAGUGCCUUAUUUAUAAGGUUGCAAUAACAAGAUCCAAGCAACUGUUUAUCAAAAACACAGGUCUCCGCUAAGUCGUAAGACGAUGUAUGGGGGCUGACGCCUGCCCAGUGCCAGAAGGUUAAAGAAGUUGGUUAGCAUUCGCGAAGCUGAUAACUGAAGCCCUGGUGAACGGCGGCCGUAACUAUAACGGUCCUAAGGUAGCGAAAUUCCUUGUCGGGUAAGUUCCGACCCGCACGGAAGGCGUAAUGAUUUGGAUACUGUCUCGGAGAGGGGCUCGGUGAAAUAGACUUGUCUGUGAAGAUGCGGACUACCUGCACCAGGACAGAAAGACCCUAUGAAGCUUUACUGUAACUUGAGAUUGAAAUUGGACUUUACUUGCGCAGUAUAGGUGGGAGGCGUUGAUAAUAUUCUUGCGGGAUUAUUUGAGCCAUCAGUGAGAUACCACUCUUGUAAUGUUAGAUUUCUAACUUUGUAUCAUUAUCUGGUCAAAGGACAGUUUCAGGCGGGCAGUUUGACUGGGGCGGUCGCCUCCUAAACGGUAACGGAGGCGCACAAAGGUUUCCUCUGAACGGGUAGAAAUCGUAUCUAGAGUGUAAAGGCAUAAGGAAGCUUGACUGUGAGACCUACAAGUCGAGCAGGGACGAAAGUCGGUCUUAGUGAUCUGACGGUGCUGAGUGGAAAGGCCGUCACUCAACGGAUAAAAGUUACUCUACGAUAACAGGCUGAUCUCCCCCAAGAGUUCACAUCGACGGGGAGGUUUGGCACCUCGAUGUCGGCUCAUCGCAUCCUGGGGCGGUAGUACGUCCCAAGGGUUGGGCUGUUCGCCCAUGAAAGCGGUACGCGAGCUGGGUUCAGAACGUCGUGAGACAGUUCGGUCCAUAUCCGGUGUAGGCGUUAGAAUAUUGAGAGGAGCCUUCUUUAGUACGAGAGGACCGAGAAGGACAUACCUCUGGUGUACCAGUUAUCGUGCCAACGGUAAACGCUGGGUAGCUAUGUAUGGAGUGGAUAACCGCUGAAAGCAUCUAAGUGGGAAGCCCACCUCAAGAUAAGUAUUCCC
rnacentral:rRNA from 1 species